rnacentral:rRNA from 1 species
CUACGGGUGGCUGCAGUAAGGAAUAUUGCGCAAUGGAGGCAACUCUGACGCAGCCAUGCCGCGUGCAGGAAGAAGGCCUUAUGGGUCGUAAACUGCUUUUAUUUAGGAAUAAACCCUCGCUCGUGAGCGAGGCUGAAGGUACUGAAUGAAUAAGCACCGGCUAACUCCGUGCCAGCAGCCGCGGUAAUACGGAGGGUGCAAGCGUUAUCCGGAUUUAUUGGGUUUAAAGGGUGCGCAGGCGGGCUAUUAAGUCAGUGGUGAAAUCCCGGGGCUCAACUCCGGAACUGCCAUUGAUACUGAUAGUCUUGAGUUUGGUUGAAGUGGGCGGAAUGUAGCAUGUAGCGGUGGAAUGCAUAGAUAUGCUACAGAACACCAAUCGCGAAGGCAGCUCACUAAGCCAAAACUGACGCUCAUGCACGAAAGCGUGGGGAUCAAACAGGAUUAGAUACCCGGGUAGUC